rnacentral:rRNA from 1 species
UACAGAGGUCCCAACCGUUGUUCGGAUUUAUUGGGCGUAAAGGGUGCGUAGGCGGCGGGGCAAGUCAGGUGUGAAAUCUCGGGGCUCAACCCCGAAACUGCACUUGAUACUGCCUUGCUCGAGUACUGGAGAGGAGACUGGAAUUUACGGUGUAGCGGUGAAAUGCGUAGAUAUCGUAAGGAAGACCAGUGGCGAAGGCGGGUCUCUGGACAGUUCCUGACGCUGAGGCACGAAGGCCAGGGGAGCAAACGGG